GGUCAGUGAUGUGAUGGCAUGUAUUAGCUGAAUCCAAAGUUGAUGUAAAUUCUAAAAUUACACUUGAGACCUU